rnacentral:rRNA from 2 species
AGUUGCGAUCAUACCAGCACUAAUGCACCGGAUACUAUCAGAACUCUGCAGUUAAGCGUGCUUGGCAUGCACGAGACUCGUAACGG